UUUUGGUGGUGUUUCAGAUUGAGACCAUGGAUUCCCAUGGAAAACAUGAAUCUCUCAAAUUUCCCAAGAUCCAACCCCACAAACCCACGUCACUUUGGCAGUUUUGGAGCACCAAAUCUUCACACCAAGAUGGGUUUUUUCUGCAAUGCCCUUCUUGCCUUCUCAGUUAUUUCUUCUCCCCCACUAAAUAUUACUUCAUAUUAAUGUAUCAUUUGACUUUUUUUUCUUUUUAAUCUUCAUCCCAUCUAUUUAUUUAUUAAUUCCACUCUUU
rnacentral:lncRNA from 1 species